rnacentral:ncRNA from 1 species
ACAGAAACGAUGACAGGGACAGUAUGGCGUUCUAGCAGCUUGCUUUUUCAGCGAAAUGGGGAAGGUGGAAGCCCAUUGCAAGCGGAUUGCCAGAAAAUCACCCGAUAGUUCCGAACUGAACAUCCAAACAGGAUCAGUAAGUACAGGCGUGACAUUCGCGUUAAGAAUGCUAAGAGGGCAGGAUUAACACUUCUUGUCUAUUUAGGGUGGUACCGCGGGAAUAAAAACCUUCUCGUCCCUUUC